UGGGCCACGUCAGCCUUGGUGCAAGGUGGUUUUUAGCAGCAUCAGGGCUGGGAUCUGAGUGGUGUAGAUCCUGGGAAAAGCAUGUUGACUGAGUAAUGGAAUUCAACGCUGCAGCUGUUGGGUACCGUUGCCUGCUGUCCUUUUAGGGUUUUUGUUUUAAAGUUAGU